rnacentral:lncRNA from 1 species
AUAUAUAUAUAUAUAUAUAUAUAUAUAGGAAAAAUGCAUUCUACCACUAGGUGGUAGUUACCCCCUAUCUGGCAGCCCUCCGAUCUGAUUUAUGCGUGGGUUUUGAUUAACGGGUUUCUAUUAAUAAACUAACAAAGCCGGCUACACUUCCCAUUUUUUAGGCUGGAUAUGCCCCCGCUUGCCGUACCGAUUUUUCAGCGUGGAUACGUUAAAAGCCGUACCAGCAUUGAAAUCCUAGCCGACUGCAUCACGUUUCAUUGGGAGCUCAGCCAUGGGGCAUCAAGGUAUACAUCCUCGUUCGUUGAUCAAUCUCGUAGAUCCAUUCUGUCUUCGGUACCCAAGUUUAACUCUGAUCCAUCUCUUUCUCUCUUUGUGCAGUUUUAGCCGGCAUGGUUCAGACUUCAAGUUUGCAUAUCCGACGUGAAAUCUCCAGAGUAAUUAAAUGCGGCCACUCUAGCGCAUGGAAUUUACCACAUCUCCAGGUUUGCCACCGUCUGGCGGAUCUUGAUGCACGUCAGCGGCGUUGAGGAGACCACAUACACAAGAGUUACACAGGGUUGUCGCGGCCGCUGAAUGGAAUUCUCCCGUGACGAACUCCCCGUUGAGAUGCACGAACAUGGUUCACGAGCGCAUGCACAUGGAGACAUGGAGAGAAGAUAUUUAAUUAAUGUCUUGGGAUGAGCAGUCACAUGCAUCAAUGGGUACCGUGGGGAUGAGAGACCAUGUAUAUGGUUGUCAAGCUUUGCAUGUGUUUACUUAAUAUAUUUUUUUAUAUAAGGGAGUGCAGCAAUUCAGCUAUGAACAUUUGUAAAGAUCUAACGUGUUGUACGUGGUUCAUACGUUAUUUUUGACAUACUACAGAGUUUACUUUGUUAAUGCUCCAUACAAUUUUUUUU